GACAGUUCACCGCAAUAUAACUCUGUCUGGCAGUUUUGCAAAUUCCUGAGAUUGAGCUUCUACAGAACUGCUAUUGAAUCAUGUCAAUAUUUAAUCAGCACCUAAAGACUGCUGGAAAUAAAUAUUUAGAGACAGUGCUUCUAUUUUAUUGUUUCAGUGCACUGAAGAAGUAGGGAAGAAUGCACUUCUGCAUCACCCUUUGAUUUGAUGCAAUUUAAAUUCUCAGUGCUUAUUCUUGCAAGUGAGGAAGAGAUUAAGAACUGGACUCCAAGAUUUUACAAGCUGUAAUGAAGUGACUAAGUGAAGAAUUUCAUUUUUCAAUCUUUUAUUCAGGCAAACGUCUGUUAAAGUCACUGACAAUGUAGAAAUAAACAAGGACAACGAAGGGCACGCAAAGAAGAACUGCAGAAGGGUCAGCCUCAGUCAGAAGGAUAAAGUUCGUGUCAGUGCCAACGGCAGAAGAAUUCAGGAAGCCAACAAUAAAUGGAAACAAUGUGAGAAGAGCAGGUGUGUUUUCACUCAGAGGAAGCAGCUACGGAUAUGAAAAUGACUUAGCAGCUGGUGAAUAAGGAGACUGAAGCUGUGCCAGACAAAGUAAGUGAGCGUGUGUGUGUGCAUUCAUUUUACCACUGAUUAUACAAAAAGGCCCAAACUCACUGAUCGUGUAGUUCUAUCCCUGCUUCACCAGGAAUAAAUAUUUAAGUGGCAUAACUGUUUCAGAAAGCCACUUAUUACUAGUGAUACAUUUUCCGUGUUGUAACUGGGAAUACACCUUAAACAUUCUUUUCUUCUUUUCAUACCUUCUUCUCUCCAUUCCUGUUUACACCAUGGUGAGAACCAUCAUUUGCACAAAGCUGGCCUGCAUUUUUGUUUGACAUUUAGUCUUCUUAGCUUUACAGAUAAGGCUGUGUUCAAACAAGCGCAGCGCCAGAACACCAAAUCUACACAGGAUAUGACUUGAAGCUUUCUCUUCUUGAAGUUGGUAAAGAUUUACC
ensembl:lncRNA